rnacentral:rRNA from 1 species
AUAGGUAUGCUUAGGGAGGAGCUUGCGUCACAUUAGUUAGUUGGUGGGGUAAAGGCCUACCAAGACUAUGAUGUGUAGCCGGGCUGAGAGGUUGAACGGCCACAUUGGGACUGAGACACGGCCCAAACUCCUACGGGAGGCAGCAGUAGGGAAUUUUCGGCAAUGGAGGAAACUCUGACCGAGCAACGCCGCGUGAACGAUGAAGUAUUUCGGUACGUAAAGUUCUUUUAUUAGGGAAGAAUAAAUGAUGGAAAAAUCAUUCUGACGGUACCUAAUGAAUAAGCCCCGGCUAACUAUGUGCCAGCAGCCGCGGUAAUACAUAGGGGGCAAGCGUUAUCCGGAAUUAUUGGGCGUAAAGGGUGCGUAGGCUGUUAAAUAAGUUUAUGGUCUAAGUGCAAUGCUCAACAUUGUGAUGCUAUAAAAACUGUUUAGCUAGAGUAAGAUAGAGGCAAGUGGAAUUCCAUGUGUAGUGGUAAAAUGCGUAAAUAUAUGGAGGAACACCAGUAGCGAAGGCGGCUUGCUGGGUCUUUACUGACGCUGAGGCACGAAAGCGUGGGGAGCAAACAGGAUUAGAUACCCUGGUAGUCCACGCCGUAAACGAUGAGUACUAAACGUUGGGUAAAACCAGUGUUGAAGUUAACACAUUAAGUACUCCGCCUGAGUAGUACGUACGCAAGUAUGAAACUUAAAGGAAUUGACGGGACUCCGCACAAGCGGUGGAUCAUGUUGUUUAAUUCGAAGGUACCCGAAAAACCUCACCAGGUCUUGACAUGCUUCUGCAAAGCUGUAGAAACACAGUGGANGUUAUCAGUUGCACAGGUGGUGCAUGGUUGUCGUCAGCUCGUGUCGUGAGAUGUUGGGUUAAGUCCCGCAACGAGCGCAACCCUUAUUGUUAGUUGCCANCACGUAAUGG